UAAGCCUAUUUGGGGUGGAUUCUCAUCUAAUUAUAGCAGACCCACAACUGGCUACUCGAAAUCACUUGUUAUCGCAAGUCUAACUAUAUUAUUAACACUGAAAAACAAGGACAGCUACUGUGUAAACAAAUUUUUUGAGAUUU
rnacentral:pre_miRNA from 1 species